rnacentral:rRNA from 1 species
GUGGGGAAUAUUGGACAAUGGGCGAAAGCCUGAUCCAGCCAUGCCGCGUGAGUGAUGAAGGCCUUAGGGUUGUAAAGCUCUUUCAGUAGGGAAGAUAAUGACGGUACCUACAGAAGAAGCCCCGGCUAACUUCGUGCCAGCAGCCGCGGUAAUACGAAGGGGGCUAGCGUUGUUCGGAUUUACUGGGCGUAAAGCGCACGUAGGCGGAAUGGUCAGUUAGAGGUGAAAUCCUGGAGCUCAACUCCAGAACUGCCUUUAAUACUGCCAGUCUAGAGUCCAGAAGAGGUUAGUGGAACUCCUAGUGUAGAGGUGGAAUUCGUAGAUAUUAGGAAGAACACCAGUGGCGAAGGCGGCUCACUGGUCUGGUACUGACGCUGAGGUGCGAAAGCGUGGGGAGCAAACAGGAUUAGAAACCCUGGUAGUCC